GUGGGGAAUCUUCCGCAAUGGACGAAAGUCUGACGGAGCAACGCCGCGUGAGUGAAGAAGGUUUUCGGAUCGUAAAGCUCUUUCGUUAGGGACGAACGUGCUCUUUGUGAAUAAUGAGGAGUAAUGACGGUACCUAAAUAAGAAGCCACGGCUAACUACGUGCCAGCAGCCGCGGUAAUACGUAGGUGGCAAGCGUUGUCCGGAAUUAUUGGGCGUAAAGCGCGCGCAGGCGGGAUAUCAAGUCUGUCUUAAAAGUGCGAGGCUCAACCUCGUGAGGGGACAGAAACUGGUAUUCUUGAGUGUCGGAGAGGAAAGUGGAAUUCCAAGUGUAGCGGUGAAAUGCGUAGAGAUUUGGAAGAACACCAGUGGCGAAGGCGACUUUCUGGACGAUGUCUGACGCUGAGACGCGAAAGCUAGGGGAGCGAACGGGAUUAGAAACCCUAGUAGUCC
rnacentral:rRNA from 1 species